rnacentral:tRNA from 1 species
UCCUUGGAAGUCCAGUAGUUAAGACUCUACACUUCCAAUGUAGGGGGGCACAGGUUCAAUUCCUGGUUGGUGAA